AAGUAAGACGCAGAACGUCAGCCAGAGCCUCUCCCCUCCAAGCAUCCCAAGCCCUGGUCCCAGCACCUCUUCAGCCUGGGGACAUUAGAUACAGAUUUCUAUGUCACUGGCUACAUCAAAGGCAUGCUCUGUGAGUCCAGAGUAUACAUUUCCAGAGAGAAGAGCUGCCUGCAUAUUCAAAAUAGAAUCCCGCAGGUCAAGCACUGCUCAGGGCUGAUCUGUGAGGGGCAGGGAGCAGAGCCUGAAAGUGAACUCAAGGACAGUUCCUUCCCUGAACCCCUCCCGGAAUAAAAUCCCAUCUGACAGUUGACACCUCCAGCUUCCUCCAAUAGCCCCCUGACUCAUCAGUCCUGUAAGAGGGUAGGACGGAUGGGAAGCCUUUAAUCUUUUGAAAUUUUAUUCCCCCCAGUGGAUGCAACCAGAGACAGCAGUGGGCAUGGAAAGCACUCUGGACAGAGUCAGGUCACCAGGCAUGUCUUCCCAUUGACUGCAUAAACCUGAAUGAGACCCUCUCUAGUCCUCUUUGUGCCCAUCGGGGCAAUGAAAAUGGGUUUGGCUGUGAUCUCAGAAACCCCCGCCACUUCUGCAAGCCUGAAUGAGGGAGAAAUGGAUCCCUUCUUCUUCCCCUUCACCGUAGAGGCCAUGACAUGGCAGGGGAGAUGUACAAGGGCCUAGACAACCAGCCGAAGUCUGGAGGGACCAGAUGGAAUAGGAACCAGCAUUCUCCCCUGCAGUGCUGGAAAAGUCACUCAAAUCUCUACUCACUGGGGCUUCAGCUGAAGGGAACAGCUUCCCUUCUUCUCCCUUCCCUCCAGGGCUCAAAUCUAAUCCAAACCCAAGGACCUUGACCCCAAACAGACAAGAGCAGUUGAUCUAAGUGACAUUCCUAGGGAUCCUGGAUUGGAACAGAAUCUGAUCAGGCAACUGAAGAUCCCUGGCUCAACUAUGUAGAUCUGACAAUUCAUUCUGGCCUGGGACAGGGGAGAGGAAAAUGGACUCCUGAACUACAGAGGAGGGCCCCAAGGCCUCUGCCCUCAGAGAAUGAUGUACAAGGUGGGAUUAGAGCAGCUAAGUUUGUCAUCUAAUCAUGGAGCUUAGGACUCAGAACAAACUGCAGGCAUCCCUACUACAGGCCAGGGAUUGUACACGGCCAUCCUCCUUCAGCCAACAAGGUUACUCACAGCAUCCCGAAUUCAGACAGGUAAGCGGCGUGGCCAGGUUUCUGAGUUUUCAGAGUGGGCAGGCUGGCAAACCACCAUCUGCAGACCCAGCCCCAGCCCUCACGAUCUCUCCCAGAAGACCCAGGUGCCUGGGUAUCUCUCGGUCACCCAUGACAAUUUGAGAGCAGUGGGCGGCCUACCCAAGGCAUAGCUGGCCAUCAGAAAGCCAGCCGAUCCAGCCAACACCUGAAAAUCUUGCUUCCUGGUCUUGUGAACAAUCAGCCCAAUCCUGGUCACCUGCAACAGCAAAUGUAGUGUGAGAGCUGUGCCCAGAGCCUCAUCCUGGAUGAGGGCUGGGUAAGUGUGGUGGAAUGAAAGCCCAGUGCUCAAAGAGAUGCCCUCAAGAAAGUCCCAGAGAGCCCGCACGACAGAGAGAAUCCACACAGAAGCCAAGGUUGGAAACAGAUCUCAGAGCUGCCCUCGGGAGCAAAAGUGCUAGGACCCAGAAAAGGAGGAGAGGACCCCAGCCCCGGAGCUGCUGCCACUCACAUCACCACCGCUGUCCUUCAUGCCCACAAUAUUCGGGUGCUGGGAAAGCGUGACCACUGCAUCCACAGGCAGGUCCAGCCCUGUGUUGGCUGGGACACUGUACAGCACCACAGGGAUUGGAGAGAGAUCAGCAACCUGGGGAGGGGGGCGCAGAGAAAAGCAGGAGAGGGCAGCCGCCCCAGGUCCCAAGAGCCAGAGACUUGCCCACCCACAGGUCCCAGCCUGCUUCACUACAGGGCCACCUGGACAGGCCCCCCUCCCAUGCUACGUGCCCCGAGUGUAAGCAAUCACAGUGGGUCAUAUUUAUGGAGUGCUUUCCAUAUGCCACGCACAGUUCUAAGGCCUUUAUGUUCCUGACCUCAUUUAAUGCUCACUGCAACCCUAUGAGACAGAUGACAUCAUUCCUCCAAUUUUAGAGGGGAGAAAGCAGUAACACAGAGUGGUCAGGUAAGCCUCCCAAUGUCGUGCAGCUGAUCCAUGGUGGCAGUCCACCCGUUUCCUAUAGCUGCCGUUCAUGUGAAGCACCACCCUAUUCCCAGCUUCCCUUAUCUCCUCUCCCUGGGCAGAGCCUCCUCUUAGUCUCAGGCCUCACACACACCUUGGUGUAGUGGUGAAUGAGGGCCGCGCUGCUCAUGCGGCCACGAUAGUAGCAAGGGGUCACCACCAUGGCCGCGUCAGCCCCGACCUGGGCCAUGCUGACAGUCAUCUCCACUGUGGCUUGAGUGGCUGCCAGAGGAAGGAGAGAGGUGAGAGCAGGCAGAAGGAGGCCUGGACCAGGACACUGGGCCAAGCGAAGGUGCCUCAGCAUGUCCCAGAAGAGGCAGAACAAGGAGACAGGACCCAAGCUAGGGCCUAGGAGCCUGGAUCCUGCACAUCCACCCACCCCCAGGGCCCAGGGCAUUCUGGCUCACACUCGCAUCCGGAGCCAGCUAGCAGGAGCCUGUUCUUGGGCAUGGCCUGGCGCACACGGCUCACCACCUCGAGGCGCUCGCUGCUGGUCAGGAAAGGAAACUCGCCAUUGGAGCCCUGGACCACGAAGCCUGCAAGAGACACAGCUGACCAACUCCUUCCCAUCCUCUACCGAACAACCAGGACAUUGGUGUUCCUACCUUACGACACCAUAAUCUUUCACACAUUUCCUUCCCAUCUUUGCAGGCAGAAAGUUCCCACACAGCUGCAAUGACUGUUCACAUCAUUUUUCUUUUUUAGACACAGGGUCUCACUCUGUUGCCCAGGCUGGGAUGCAGUGGCUCAACCAUAGCUUGCUGCAGCUUCGACCUUCUGGGCUCAAGUGAUCCUUAUGUAAUAAGGUUAUUACAAUUUUAAGCCUUGUAGAAAUGGAAUUAAGCUUAAAUAGCCUUCUGCAGUUUGCUGUUUGUUUAAUACUAUUUUUUGAGCUUUGUUCAUAAAAGCACACGUAGCCCUGAUUCAUUCAUUUUAAUUGCUGUAUAGUAUUCUGUUGUAAGGUUAGAACACAAUUUAUUUGUCAUUCUCUUGUUGAGAGCAUUUAGAAUGUUUCCUUCUUUUGGCUGGGCCUGGUGGCUCACACCUAUAAUUUCAGCACUUUAGGAGGCCAAGGUGGGUGGAUCGCUUGAGCCCAGGAGUUCAAAACCAGCCAGGGCAGCAUGGCUGCCUGUCUCUACCAAAAAAUGGCCUACCUGUCUCUACCAAAAAAGAAAAAAGAAGAAAAGAAUGUUUUCUUCUAUUUGCUAUUGCAAACAAUGCUGAAACAAACAUUUUCUGUAAA